UGUGGGAGCGAGCUUGCUCGCGAUGACGGAGUGUCAGUCGACAAUGAUGUUGAAUGAUCCACCGCUAUCGCGAGCAAGCUCGCUCCCACA
rnacentral:misc_RNA from 1 species